rnacentral:lncRNA from 1 species
CAGGGUCUUUUUGGUCAAGUUCACUCACCUUCAAGCACAGGUCCUCAAACUCAUGAUGGUCAGAAUACGGUCAACAGGUAUGGUAACACCUGAUGGAGGAAACCAAGGAGUGGUAGACUCAAAUGCAAUGUUGUUGUCUCUUUUUCUACAUCCAGUAAUAAAGUAGGCAUAUGCAUAUGUAUUCGUGAUUCAGAAGGAAACCAUGUUCGUUCAAAG